AUAUCGGAUCAAUGAAAGAAUAAAUAAAUCUUUAAACUGAAAUAACAUGCAGAAAACAGGCAAAAUCAGCUGGAAACCAGGGCUGUGAGAUAAGCAGCAAUAAAAGAAAAAGGAAGAAGGUACAGGUUUUUGCUUUUUUUUAAGAGUGCUCAAACUGUACAAUUUGCAGUCCGGCAUUAAUCAAGUGAUAUCACGAACAUAGUUAUGGCCACAUUCAUGGUAUGUAUUUUAGGCAAAUGGUAACAUCUGAGUGCUACAACGAAAUCUUCAAACUUCUUCAUCCCAAAGUUACUGAGUCCAAGUAUCUAAAAAGCCACUUAAAAUUUUUUUUAACAUUUAUUCAUUUUUGAGAGCCGGAGAGAGACAGCGCAUGAGUGGGGGAGGGGCAGAGAGCGAGGGAGACAAAGAACCAGGAGCAGGCUCCAGGGUCCGAGCUGUCAGCCCAGAGCCCGAUGCGGGGUGUGAACUCACCAAUGGGGAGAUCAUGACCUGAGCUGAAGUACAACGCUUAACCCACUGAGCCACCCAAGCGCCCCAUAAAAAGCCCAUAUUAAUAUUUUGCCCACUUCGUGCCCUCUCUCAUUCACUGCGUUAAACACUUUGCUGCCAGACAUUAUGCUAAGUCCUAGAGACCGAACAAUAUAUGAAUUAGAUACAAUUCGGACCCUUUUGGAGUUUACACCACGGCAGCACCUAUAGGUUUUAAACAUUAUUUCCUCAAUCAAGUAUUUACUGAAAGUAUGAGUAAUGCCGAGACAGAAAGUUCAGAAAGAAAAGUGCUCCGAGAGUAUUAAUAGGGAAACAGACCCAGUGGUAGUGUCGGAGAACGGUUCCUUGAAGAAGCGCUAGGAAAGGAAUGAAGAGGGAUGGGCCAAGGUAGAGGGAGAACAGCAGUUUCGCUUUCUUUCCGAGUUUCGGUUCCUCCCCGCCAACUGCACUCCUGAAGCAGAGGAUCCGCCUGACGAAUCAGCAGAAGGUCAACAGUAGCCUGACCCCACGUCAGGCGUGCUCACGUCGUUCACCGCGCUUCUCAUCACGUAGGCAUUUUACCGUCUCAUAUUAUCAGGGAAGGAGGGCAUCAGGCAAGCAGUCUCCAAGCAUGAAACAUCAUUCACCUCAUUUCAGACAGACCCUGUGACAAAUUACAGCCUCCUCAGACAUUAAAAAUACAUUGAUCAAGAGAAGUUGUAAGACAUGGAAGAAAAAUUAAUCCAUACCUCUCUUAGAAAGAAAAGAAGGAACCACUUUGCUGAAUGACCUUUGAGCUGAACAGACCAUCGAGUUUUAAAAGUACCUGCCAGUUUCACAUCCCUUCUGAGAUUUUCAAAAGAAUUGCGAGAUUAUAACUGGCAUGAACCUAGCAGUUGAUUAUGUUAUGUAUGAUCAAAAGACAAUUCAAUCUCUGAUUUUUUUUUCCUCAUCUUAAGGAACACACUAGAUCAACCAAAGUCUCACAACAACCCUGUGAAGAAGAUGUGAAGUACAGAAAUGAUGCACUUUCCCAGAGACUCCUACAUGGAUAUCACAGCUAGUACAUGGAUACAACCAUUCCAUUGGACAACUAAGAAUAUAUGUCAAAAGAUUCUGGAGCAAAGUCCCUGAAGAGAACACAUUGAAGCAACAGGUGAUAACUAUAAAGGCCUGGUGUGUGUGCUCAGCUAUUAUUUAUAGUAAGUGUAUUUACUGAAUGCAGUCCAUUAUUCAGUAGAGUGAAAAAAAAGUUGCAUGCAGUUAUGAAUUAGGCACAUUUCCUUUUUGGAAAAAAGUCUUUACAAGUUUGACUU